rnacentral:lncRNA from 1 species
GAAGCAUAAUUUAACUGUCGUAAAACUCAAUUCCACCGUUGGAUUGGACCAAAUCCUCGUACAAGACAAAACCGGCCCACAUGGAAACGAGUAAGGCAGGUCGGAGUCCAUAGGAGAGCACGUCCCAGGCAUGGUAGGGGGUAACAUUGAACCAACAACCCUUCACAACAAUAAUAGACGACGGCGAUGAACAAAACUAGGACGACUCUUUCUUCUCUUCCACCUCCGCUUCCUUCUUCUCCUCAGGCUCCUUCUCCUCUGCAGCCUCCUCGAACGUCUCUCCAGGGACAAGCUCAGGGACAUCAUCGUCGUCGUCCUGAGCGUUACCUGCGCUGGCACCAGCCUCAGCACCGGGUACCUGCUUCUGGAACUGCUCAGCAAGCCUCCUGAGGUUGUCCAGGUUAUCAGGUCCUGCAGAUAGGUAAUUAAGGGUGAUCAAACAAGAGUAUGUAUAUACUACUAUGUGAGUAGGACGUACUUAAAGACUAAUGCUUGGUUCAGAUAUUUCAGGAUUAGGGCGAGGUGUGCAAUAUUGAACUCAUAUUCAGUAAAACCAAGAAAAAAGUCUCAUA